AGUGAACGCUGGCGGUAGGCCUAACACAUGCAAGUCGAACGGCAGCACAGGAGAGCUUGCUCUCUGGGUGGCGAGUGGCGGACGGGUGAGGAAUACAUCGGAAUCUACUUUUUCGUGGGGGAUAACGUAGGGAAACUUACGCUAAUACCGCAUACGACCUACGGGUGAAAGCAGGGGACCUUCGGGCCUUGCGCGGAUGAAUGAGCCGAUGUCGGAUUAGCUAGUUGGCGGGGUAAAGGCCCACCAAGGCGACGAUCCGUAGCUGGUCUGAGAGGAUGAUCAGCCACACUGGAACUGAGACACGGUCCAGACUCCUACGGGAGGCAGCAGUGGGGAAUAUUGGACAAUGGGCGCAAGCCUGAUCCAGCCAUACCGCGUGGGUGAAGAAGGCCUUCGGGUUGUAAAGCCCUUUUGUUGGGAAAGAAAAGCAGCAGGUUAAUACCCCGCUGUUCUGACGGUACCCAAAGAAUAAGCACCGGCUAACUUCGUGCCAGCCGCCGCAGUAACAC
rnacentral:rRNA from 1 species